rnacentral:rRNA from 2 species
CCCACGCCGAAAGACCAAGGUUUCCUGCGCAACGUUAAUCGACGCAGGGUUAGUCGGUCCCUAAGGCGAGGCUGAAAAGCGUAGUCGAUGGAAAACAGGUUAAUAUUCCUGUACUUCUGGUUAUUGCGAUGGAGGGACGGAGAAGGCUAGGCCAGCUUGGCGUUGGUUGUCCAAGUUUAAGGUGGUAGGCUGAGAUCUUAGGUAAAUCCGGGAUCUUAAGGCCGAGAGCUGAUGACGAGUUACCUUUCAGGUGACGAAGUGGUUGAUGCCAUGCUUCCAAGAAAAGCUUCUAAGCUUCAGAUAACCAGGAACCGUACCCCAAACCGACACAGGUGGUUGGGUAGAGAAUACCAAGGCGCUUGAGAGAACUCGGGUGAAGGAACUAGGCAAAAUGGCACCGUAACUUCGGGAGAAGGUGCGCCGGUGAGGGUGAAGGACUUGCUCCGUAAGCUCAUGCCGGUCGAAGAUACCAGGCCGCUGCGACUGUUUAUUAAAAACACAGCACUCUGCAAACACGAAAGUGGACGUAUAGGGUGUGACGCCUGCCCGGUGCCGGAAGGUUAAUUGAUGGGGUUAGCUAACGCGAAGCUCUUGAUCGAAGCCCCGGUAAACGGCGGCCGUAACUAUAACGGUCCUAAGGUAGCGAAAUUCCUUGUCGGGUAAGUUCCGACCUGCACGAAUGGCGUAACGAUGGCGGCGCUGUCUCCACCCGAGACUCAGUGAAAUUGAAAUCGCUGUGAAGAUGCAGUGUAUCCGCGGCUAGACGGAAAGACCCCGUGAACCUUUACUAUAGCUUUGCACUGGACUUUGAAUUUGCUUGUGUAGGAUAGGUGGGAGGCUUUGAAGCGUGGACGCCAGUUCGCGUGGAGCCAUCCUUGAAAUACCACCCUGGCAACUUUGAGGUUCUAACUCAGGUCCGUUAUCCGGAUCGAGGACAGUGUAUGGUGGGUAGUUUGACUGGGGCGGUCUCCUCCUAAAGAGUAACGGAGGAGUACGAAGGUGCGCUCAGACCGGUCGGAAAUCGGUCGUAGAGUAUAAAGGCAAAAGCGCGCUUGACUGCGAGACAGACACGUCGAGCAGGUACGAAAGUAGGUCUUAGUGAUCCGGUGGUUCUGUAUGGAAGGGCCAUCGCUCAACGGAUAAAAGGUACUCCGGGGAUAACAGGCUGAUACCGCCCAAGAGUUCAUAUCGACGGCGGUGUUUGGCACCUCGAUGUCGGCUCAUCACAUCCUGGGGCUGAAGCCGGUCCCAAGGGUAUGGCUGUUCGCCAUUUAAAGUGGUACGCGAGCUGGGUUUAGAACGUCGUGAGACAGUUCGGUCCCUAUCUGCCGUGGACGUUUGAGAUUUGAGAGGGGCUGCUCCUAGUACGAGAGGACCGGAGUGGACGAACCUCUGGUGUUCCGGUUGUCACGCCAGUGGCAUUGCCGGGUAGCUAUGUUCGGGAAAGAUAACCGCUGAAAGCAUCUAAGCGGGAAACUUGCCUCAAGAUGAGAUCUCACUGGAACCUUGAGUUCCCUGAAGGGCCGUCGAAGACUACGACGUUGAUAGGUUGGGUGUGUAAGCGCUGUGAGGCGUUGAGCUAACCAAUACUAAUUGCCCGUGAGGCUUGACCA